GCCAUCAUAGCUCAGUGGCAGAGCACUGGUCUUGUAAACUAGGGGUCGAUCCUCACUGGUGGCU